AUGGAAGGGCCAUCGCUCAACGGAUAAAAGCUACCCCGGGGAUAACAGGCUUAUCUCCCCCAAGAGUUCACAUCGACGGGGAGGUUUGGCACCUCGAUGUCGGCUCAUCGCAUCCUGGGGCUGUAGUCGGUCCCAAGGGUUGGGCUGUUCGCCCAUUAAAGCGGUACGCGAGCUGGGUUCAGAACGUCGUGAGACAGUUCGGUCCCUAUCCGUCGUGGGCGUAGGAAAUUUGAGAGGAGCUGUCCUUAGUACGAGAGGACCGGGAUGGACAUACCUCUGGUGUACCAGUUGUCGUGCCAACGGCAUAGCUGGGUAGCUAUGUAUGGACGGGAUAAGUGCUGAAAGCAUCUAAGCAUGAAGCCCCCCUCAAGAUGAGAUUUCCCAACUUCGGUUAUAAGAUCCCUCAGAGAUGAUGAGGUUAAUAGGUUCGAGGUGGAAGCGUGGUGACACGUGGAGCUGACGAAUACUAAUCGAUCGAAGACUUAAUCAA
rnacentral:rRNA from 1 species